AACGAACGCUGGCGGCAGGCUUAACACAUGCAAGUCGAGCGCCCCGCAAGGGGAGCGGCAGACGGGUGAGUAACGCGUGGGAAUCUACCCAUCCCUACGGAAUAACGCAUGGAAACGUGUGCUAAUACCGAAUACGUCCUUCGGGAGAAAGAUUUAUCGGAGAUGGAUGAGCCCGCGUUGGAUUAGCUAGUUGGUGGGGUAAAGGCCUACCAAGGCGACGAUCCAUAGCUGGUCUGAGAGGAUGAUCAGCCACACUGGGACUGAGACACGGCCCAGACUCCUACGGGAGGCAGCAGUGGGGAAUAUUGGACAAUGGGCGCAAGCCUGAUCCAGCCAUGCCGCGUGAGUGAUGAAGGCCCUAGGGUUGUAAAGCUCUUUCACCGGUGAAGAUAAUGACGGUAACCGGAGAAGAAGCCCCGGCUAACUUCGUGCCAGCAGCCGCCGUAACAC
rnacentral:rRNA from 1 species